GAUGAACGCUGGCGGCGUGCCUAAUACAUGCAAGUCGAGCGAACAGACGAGGAGCUUGCUCCUCUGACGUUAGCGGCGGACGGGUGAGCAACACGUGGAUAACCUACCUAUAAGACUGGGAUAACUUCGGGAAACCGGAGCUAAUACCGGAUAAUAUAUUGAACCGCAUGGUUCAAUAGUGAAAGACGGUUUUGCUGUCACUUAUAGAUGGAUCCGCGCCGCAUUAGCUAGUUGGUAAGGUAACGGCUUACCAAGGCAACGAUGCGUAGCCGACCUGAGAGGGUGAUCGGCCACACUGGAACUGAGACACGGUCCAGACUCCUACGGGAGGCAGCAGUAGGGAAUCUUCCGCAAUGGGCGAAAGCCUGACAGAGCAACGCCGCGUGAGUGAUGAAGGUCUUCGGAUCGUAAAACUCUGUUAUUAGGGAAGAACAAAUGUGUAAGUAACUAUGCACGUCUUGACGGUACCUAAUCAGAAAGCCACGGCUAACUACGUG
rnacentral:rRNA from 1 species